GAGACCCCACCUCCGGCAAUCCGAACCCCGAAGCCUAACCUUCUAACCCUACCGGCGGCAACCCAGAAUCCGAAGCUCUAAAACCUCGAAGGCUCGAACCCUAACUUUCGACGGCGAAGCAAGGCGGCGGCGCAGUAGCGGAAGGAGGAAGAAGGCCACGUGGGCCGCCAUGGGCCGCAGAAGGUGACAAGAGCAUAUUUUUCGCGUACACAAUAGUCGCGGCGGAGGAAGACGGGGCACCGCGAACCUCUGUUGAGUUUCG
rnacentral:lncRNA from 1 species